rnacentral:rRNA from 1 species
AUGGGACUUUUUAAAUUCCCAGUCUCAUUAUAUGAGGAACUUGCUCAUAUUAUAAGGAAUUUCUGGUGGGGAGUCGAAGAGGAUAGAAGGAAAACACAUUGGCUAGCUUGGGAUAAACUAACAAAACCAAAAAGUAAGAGCGGCAUGGGGUUCCGUGAUCUAAGGUUAUUUAAUCAAGCUCUAUUAGCUAAGCAAGCCUGGAGGUUAUUAGUGUACCCGAACUCGUUGUGUGCUAUGGUUUUGAAGGCAAAAUAUUAUCCCAAUGGUCAUAUAUUGGAUACGGUUUUCCCGCAAGCCACGUCGGUGAAUUGGAAGGGUAUUAUGCAUGGAUUGGAACUGUUAAAAAAAGGUCAUAUGGAGAGUGGUCGAUGGCAACAAUGUUAA